GGAUGGGAGGGGCUGAGAAGACUUGAGGAAGGAUGUCGCAGAGAAGAGAAGUGAGGGGAGGACAAUCAGGAUCCCGAAAGCCACAGAGGAGUAGGUGGGUGGAAAAGCGGUCACCAGGUGGACAGGACCAGAGGACAUUUCCAUUACUUACUCCGGCCGCAAUCAGCUGCUGUUGCAUAGCCUAUAGCCUUGGCCAGCCCGAAGGUGAGCAGUCCGAAGUUGGUGGUGGCCUCGGCCGUGUGGAUCAUGUCAGCUGUGCCAAGCUCCACUUCAGCAUACGAGAACUCACUGCCUGGCACAGCCUCCCAGCUUUCGUCUACAAGCCUUCCUGGC
rnacentral:lncRNA from 1 species